CAACAUUUAAAACAAUGGAAAAGAUAUCAAUGAAGUUUGCUCUUGUUAUUUUCUUAGUUGUUGCAUCCGUGAUGAGUAUUGAGGCAACACGGUUAUUAACCGAAGAAGCUCUUGAAACGGUUCUGCAUGGUGAAUCUUUGCCGCAUGGCGAGGAAAAAUUCCAUUUUGGUGUUCACUGCGAGAAAGGGUGUCAUGAGGAAUGUUAUCCCGAUCAAUUUAUUACAAGAUGUUUUUGUGUGUGCCCAUAAUCUGAUACUAUCCUGAAAUAAUAAUGUGCUUUUCUAAUAUUAAUGAAAAAACUGGUCCAGUUAUGUUCUAUCAUGUUAUUGUGUAAUGAUUUC